rnacentral:rRNA from 1 species
AUUGAACGCUGGCGGCAGGCUUAACACAUGCAAGUCGAGCGGAGAUGAGGUGCUUGCACCUUAUCUUAGCGGCGGACGGGUGAGUAAUGCUUAGGAAUCUGCCUAUUAGUGGGGGACAACAUUCCGAAAGGAAUGCUAAUACCGCAUACGCCCUACGGGGGAAAGCAGGGGAUCUUCGGACCUUGCGCUAAUAGAUGAGCCUAAGUCGGAUUAGCUAGUUGGUGGGGUAAAGGCCUACCAAGGCGACGAUCUGUAGCGGGUCUGAGAGGAUGGUCCGCCACCCGGGGCCGGAGACACGGCCCAGACUCCUACGGGAGGCAGCAGUGGGGAAUGUUGGACAAUGGGCGGAAGCGUGAUCCAGCCAUGCCGCGUGUGUGAAGAAGGCCUUUUGGUUGUAAAGCACUUUAAGCGAGGAGGAGGCUACCUGGAUUAAUACUCUAGGAGAGUGGACGUUACUCGCAGAAUAAGCACCGGCUAACUCUGUGCCAGCCGCCGCGGUAAUAC